UCACUUAACUUAGCCCAUUAGAGAAUUAAUAGGCUCCUCAAAAUUAACCUGAGCCCAAUUAAAUAAAUUAACUAUUUUCUGAUUUAAUAAGCAAUUUAGAAUUUUAGAAAACAUUUUAAUUCUUCUUCCUUAACUCAUUCAAUUCUCUUUUAUUCUGAACAGAACUCUUUUCUCUCUCUCUCUGCUCUCUACCGCUCCUCUCUGUCCCUCUCUUUCCCGGCGAGCGUCGCCGGCCUUUGCGGCCUCCGGCGCGGCGAGGUCGGCCUCUUCUCUUUCCCCUUUCUUUCCUUCCAUUUCUUCUCCUCUUUCUCCUGAAUUUAGAAUAGAUCUAGGGUUUCAAAAUUUCCUGAAGUUUGUUCCUCCGGUGAACUCCGCCACUGCCGCCGCCGUGCUCGUCGCGCCGCCACCCCCUCUGAUUCAGGAAUCGGUGAUUCAAGAUGGUUUGAGAUGGUUUCAUCGGUAGUUCAUCUACAGCCCAAGACUUUGUUUUUAUAAGACUCAGCCUUCUGUUUGGAUUAUUAUUGAUUUAUAAACUGUUGUAACUAGAUGUAUUCUGUAGAUGUUAAAGAAAAUUGAUGUUAUCUCUGCUAUUCUUGAUUACCAUCUAUGAGUGAUUACUGAGUUGAAGGAA